ensembl:piRNA 21ur-3731 ncRNA
UGAUUAUAUGGUAUUUGUUUC